rnacentral:rRNA from 1 species
GACGAACGCUGGCGGCGUGCUUAACACAUGCAAGUCGAACGGAAAGGCCCUGCUUUUGUGGGGUGCUCGAGUGGCGAACGGGUGAGUAACACGUGAGUAACCUGCCCUUGACUUUGGGAUAACUUCAGGAAACUGGGGCUAAUACCGGAUAGGAGCUCCUGCUGCAUGGUGGGGGUUGGAAAGUUUCGGCGGUUGGGGAUGGACUCGCGGCUUAUCAGCUUGUUGGUGGGGUAGUGGCUUACCAAGGCUUUGACGGGUAGCCGGCCUGAGAGGGUGACCGGCAAAAUUGGGACUGAGAUACGGCCCAGACUCCUACGGGAGGCAGCAGUGGGGAAUAUUGCACAAGGGGCGGAAGCCUAAUGCAGCAACGCCGCGUGCGGGAUGACGGCCUUCGGGUUGUAAACCGCUUUCGCCUGUGACGAAGCGUGAGUGACGGUAAUGGGUAAAGAAGCACCGGCUAACUACGU